CAGCCGCCGCGGGAAUACAGAGGUCUCAAGCGUUGUUCGGAUUCAUUGGGCGUAAAGGGUGCGUAGGUGGCGGUGUAAGUCUAACGUGAAAUCUCGGGGCUCAACCUCGAAAUUGCGUCGGAUACUGCAUUGCUAGAGGAUUGUAGAGGAGAGUGGAAUUCAUGGUGUAGCAGUGAAAUGCGUAGUUAUCAUGAGGAAGACCAGUUGCGAAGGCGACUCUCUGGGCAAUUCCUGACACUGAGGCACGAAGGCUAGGGGAGCAAACGGAAUUAGAUACCCGAGUAGUCCCUGUCUCUUAUAC
rnacentral:rRNA from 1 species